CGCGGUAAUACGGGGGAUGCAGCGUUAUCCGGAAUCAUUGGGCGUAAAGCGCCUGUAGGUUGUUUAAUAAGUCUGUUGUUAAAGACUGGGGCUUAACCCCAGGAAAGCAAUGGAAACUACUAGACUAGAGUAUGGUAGGGGUAAAGGGAAUUUCUAGUGUAGCGGUGAAAUGCGUAGAUAUUAGAAAGAACACCGGUGGCGAAAGCGCUUUACUGGACCAUUACUGACACUCAGAGGCGAAAGCUAGGGUAGCCAAAGGGAUUAGAUACCCCUGUAGUCCUAGCCGUAAACGAUGGAUACUAGAUGUUGCGCUUAUUGUGCAGUGUCGUAGCUAACGCGUUAAGUAUCCCGCCUGGGGAGUACGAUCGCAAGGUUGAAACUCAAAGGAAUUGACGGGGGCCCGCACAAGCGGUGGAGCAUGUGGUUUAAUUCGAUGCAACGCGAAGAACCUUACCAGGGCUUGACAUACUGCAAAUUUUCUUGAAAGAGAAAAGUGCCUUCGGGAAUGCAGAUACAGGUGGUGCAUGGCUGUCGUCAGCUCGUGUCGUGAGAUGUUGGGUUAAGUCCCGCAACGAGCGCAACCCUCGUUUUUAGUUGCCAUUUUAUGGGUUCUCUAGAAAGACUGCCGGUGACAAACCGGAGGAAGGUGGGGAUGACGUCAAGUCAGCAUGCCCCUUAUGCCCUGGGCUACACACGUGCUACAAUGGCUAAGACAAAGAGUCGCGAAUUCGCGAGAAUCAGCUAAUCUCAUAA
rnacentral:rRNA from 1 species